rnacentral:lncRNA from 1 species
UAAAAGUAUUUGGACCGUUGAAAGCAAUCUAAUUUAAUUAAUGCUGUUCAUGGCCCUUUUUCACUUAUUCGAAUGGCUUAUAAAUAUUAGCUCAGUUAGUGAUACACUUAGGCACUUAUCUACCUUAUUGGACUUGGCCUAUCACUGUACCUCAAUGUGAUCUAUUUAUUGGUUUCCUUCCUUGGCUCCUAGUAUGUGUGUAAUUGCUUCCUCUGCCUUUAGAGAAAAAUGGCCGUUCCUCUCUAUGGCUGCGUCCACUGUUUUUCCUCUUCUUCUUGCCUUUGUGGAUGAUUUCAUACAACGAUUACACCUUCCUUGUGCGUCCUUACAAAGUAACCAUAAGUGUGGAAUAGUUUGAGAGCAUUUUGGUGGUUCUUUCAUUGUGGUGUUGAUUGAUUAGAGAAACUGAGCUAGGGAAAAGCCUUGGCGAUCUUCUCUUCUGUGUAACAUCUGGAAUUAGAGCCUCGUGUGGUCGUUUUUAGCCAGAAAUCGACUGAAAGAUGUCCAAGUCGCGCCAUUCUUCUAAGGAACUGAACCUAAAAUCGUCGAUUCAGGCCAAACCAAUCACAAAUCGGAGAAACGAAGGCCAUAUCCAUACCUAGCAAAUAGAGGCGCUCCUUUCUAGGUGGCGAAUAAUAGUGGCCCUAAAGAAACAGAUUCGCAUUUUUUGAUUUUACAGACCUUUAGACGUGGUCCGCUCUCGUAAAUUGGAUUAUCCUAUUUAAUUUUCAGCACUAAUGCGUUGUCAUGUAAAGUGACAAUAGGAUUGAAGUUAACGUGUGGGAUAACCAUUGCUUGUAUUAGAAAUUAAAAAUUACUUGCUCUUAUGUAAUUGGGG